rnacentral:rRNA from 1 species
CCUACGGGUCGCAGCAGUGGGGAAUAUUGCACAAUGGGCGCAAGCCUGAUGCAGCCAUGCCGCGUGUAUGAAGAAGGCCUUCGGGUUGUAAAGUACUUUCAGCGGGGGGGAAGGUGUUGUGGUUAAUAACCACAACAAUUGACGUUACCCGCAGAAGAAGCACCGGCUAACUCCGUGCCAGCAGCCGCGGUAAUACGGAGGGUGCAAGCGUUAAUCGGAAUUACUGGGCGUAAAGCGCACGCAGGCGGUCUGUCAAGUCGGAUGUGAAAUCCCCGGGCUCAACCUGGGAACUGCAUUCGAAACUGGCAGGCUAGAGUCUUGUAGAGGGGGGUAGAAUUCCAGGUGUAGCGGUGAAAUGCGUAGAUAUAUGGAGGAACACCAGUGGCGAAGGCGGCUCUCUGGUCUGUAACUGACGCUGAGGCUCGAAAGCGUGGGGAGCAAACAGGAUUAGAUACCCCUGUAGU